GAUGAACGCUGGCGGCGUGCUUAAUACAUGCAAGUCGAGCGAACAGACGAGGAGCUUGCUCCACUGACGUUAGAGGCGGACGGGAGAGUACCACGUGGAUAACCCACCUAUAGGACUGGGAUAAUUUUGGGAAACAGGAGCUAUAUCUGGCAAAGAUAUUUAAUCGAAUGGUUAAAUAGUGAAAGACGGCUUUGCUUUCACUUAUAGAUGUAUCGGCGCCGCAGUAGAUCGUUGCUAAGGUAACGACUUACCCAGGGAAGGAUACGUAGCAGACCUGAGAGGGUGAUCGGCCACACUGGAACUGAGACACGGUCCAGGGUCCUACGGAAGGCAGCAGUAGGGAAUCGUCAGCAAGGGGCGAAGGCUUGACGGAACAGCGCCACGAGAGUGAUGAAGGUCUUCGGAUUGUACAACGCUGUUAUUAGGGAUGAACAGAUGUGUAAGUAACUAUGCACGUCUUGACGGUACCUAAUCAGGAAGCGACGGCUAACUACGUG
rnacentral:rRNA from 1 species